GUUAUAUGGUCAAGUGAAGAAGCGCAUACGGUGGAUGCCUUGGCAGUCAGAGGCGAUGAAAGACGUGGUAGCCUGCGAAAAGCUUCGGGGAGUCGGCAAACAGACUUUGAUCCGGAGAUCUCUGAAUGGGGGAACCCACCUAGGAUAACCUAGGUAUCUUGUACUGAAUCCAUAGGUGCAAGAGGCGAACCAGGGGAACUGAAACAUCUAAGUACCCUGAGGAAAAGAAAUCAACCGAGAUUCCCUUAGUAGUGGCGAGCGAACGGGGAUUAGCCCUUAAGCUUCAUUGAUUUUAGCGGAACGCUCUGGAAAGUGCGGCCAUAGUGGGUGAUAGCCCCGUACGCGAAAGGAUCUUUGAAGUGAAAUCGAGUAGGACGGAGCACGAGAAACUUUGUCUGAACAUGGGGGGACCAUCCUCCAAGGCUAAAUACUACUGACUGACCGAUAGUGAACCAGUACCGUGAGGGAAAGGCGAAAAGAACCCCGGAGAGGGGAGUGAAAUAGAACCUGAAACCGUAUGCGUACAAGCAGUGGGAGCCUACUUGUUAGGUGACUGCGUACCUUUUGUAUAAUGGGUCAGCGACUUAUAUUCAGUGGCAAGCUUAACCGUAUAGGGUAGGCGUAGCGAAAGCGAGUCUUAAUAGGGCGUUUAGUCGCUGGGUAUAGACCCGAAACCGGGCGAUCUAUCCAUGAGCAGGUUGAAGGUUAGGUAACACUGACUGGAGGACCGAACCCACUCCCGUUGAAAAGGUAGGGGAUGACUUGUGGAUCGGAGUGAAAGGCUAAUCAAGCUCGGAGAUAGCUGGUUCUCCUCGAAAGCUAUUUAGGUAGCGCCUCAUGUAUCACUCUGGGGGGUAGAGCACUGUUUCGGCUAGGGGGUCAUCCCGACUUACCAAACCGAUGCAAACUCCGAAUACCCAGAAGUGCCGAGCAUGGGAGACACACGGCGGGUGCUAACGUCCGUCGUGAAAAGGGAAACAACCCAGACCGCCAGCUAAGGUCCCAAAGUUGUGGUUAAGUGGUAAACGAUGUGGGAAGGCUUAGACAGCUAGGAGGUUGGCUUAGAAGCAGCCAUCCUUUAAAGAAAGCGUAAUAGCUCACUAGUCGAGUCGGCCUGCGCGGAAGAUGUAACGGGGCUCAAACCACACACCGAAGCUGCGGGUGUCACGUAAGUGACGCGGUAGAGGAGCGUUCUGUAAGCCUGUGAAGGUGAGUUGAGAAGCUUGCUGGAGGUAUCAGAAGUGCGAAUGCUGACAUGAGUAACGACAAUGGGUGUGAAAAACACCCACGCCGAAAGACCAAGGGUUCCUGCGCAACGUUAAUCGACGCAGGGUUAGUCGGUUCCUAAGGCGAGGCUGAAAAGCGUAGUCGAUGGGAAACAGGUUAAUAUUCCUGUACUUCUGGUUACUGCGAUGGAGGGACGGAGAAGGCUAGGCCAGCUUGGCGUUGGUUGUCCAAGUUUAAGGUGGUAGGCUGAAAUCUUAGGUAAAUCCGGGGUUUCAAGGCCGAGAGCUGAUGACGAGUCGUCUUUUAGAUGACGAAGUGGUUGAUGCCAUGCUUCCAAGAAAAGCUUCUAAGCUUCAGGUAACCAGGAACCGUACCCCAAACCGACACAGGUGGUCGGGUAGAGAAUACCAAGGCGCUUGAGAGAACUCGGGUGAAGGAACUAGGCAAAAUGGCACCGUAACUUCGGGAGAAGGUGCGCCGGCUAGGGUGAAGGAUUUACUCCGUAAGCUCUGGCUGGUCGAAGAUACCAGGCCGCUGCGACUGUUUAUUAAAAACACAGCACUCUGCAAACACGAAAGUGGACGUAUAGGGUGUGACGCCUGCCCGGUGCCGGAAGGUUAAUUGAUGGGGUUAGCGCAAGCGAAGCUCUUGAUCGAAGCCCCGGUAAACGGCGGCCGUAACUAUAACGGUCCUAAGGUAGCGAAAUUCCUUGUCGGGUAAGUUCCGACCUGCACGAAUGGCGUAACGAUGGCGGCGCUGUCUCCACCCGAGACUCAGUGAAAUUGAAAUCGCUGUGAAGAUGCAGUGUAUCCGCGGCUAGACGGRAAGACCCCGUGAACCUUUACUGUAGCUUUGCACUGGACUUUGAGCCUGCUUGUGUAGGAUAGGUGGGAGGCUUUGAAGCGUGGACGCCAGUUCGCGUGGAGCCAUCCUUGAAAUACCACCCUGGCAUGCUUGAGGUUCUAACUCUGGUCCGUGAUCCGGAUCGAGGACAGUGUAUGGUGGGCAGUUUGACUGGGGCGGUCUCCUCCUAAAGAGUAACGGAGGAGUACGAAGGUGCGCUCAGACCGGUCGGAAAUCGGUCGCAGAGUAUAAAGGCAAAAGCGCGCUUGACUGCGAGACAGACACGUCGAGCAGGUACGAAAGUAGGUCUUAGUGAUCCGGUGGUUCUGUAUGGAAGGGCCAUCGCUCAACGGAUAAAAGGUACUCCGGGGAUAACAGGCUGAUACCGCCCAAGAGUUCAUAUCGACGGCGGUGUUUGGCACCUCGAUGUCGGCUCAUCACAUCCUGGGGCUGAAGCCGGUCCCAAGGGUAUGGCUGUUCGCCAUUUAAAGUGGUACGCGAGCUGGGUUUAGAACGUCGUGAGACAGUUCGGUCCCUAUCUGCCGUGGACGUUUGAGAUUUGAGAGGGGCUGCUCCUAGUACGAGAGGACCGGAGUGGACGAACCUCUGGUGUUCCGGUUGUCACGCCAGUGGCAUUGCCGGGUAGCUAUGUUCGGAAAAGAUAACCGCUGAAAGCAUCUAAGCGGGAAACUUGCCUCAAGAUGAGAUCUCACUGGGAACUUGAUUCCCCUGAAGGGCCGUCGAAGACUACGACGUUGAUAGGCUGGGUGUGUAAGCGUUGUGAUUGUGUGUUGUAAGG
rnacentral:rRNA from 1 species